rnacentral:rRNA from 1 species
UACGUAGGGGGCUAGCGUUGUCCGGAUUUAUUGGGCGUAAAGAGCGUGUAGGCGGCCAGGUAGGUCUGCUGUGAAAACUCGAGGCUCAACCUCGAGACGUCGGCGGAAACCAUCUGGCUAGAGUCCGGAAGAGGAGAGUGGAAUUCCUGGUGUAGCGGUGAAAUGCGCAGAUAUCAGGACGAACACCCGUGGCGAAGGCGGCUCUCUGGGACGGUACUGACGCUGAGACGCGAAAGCGUGGGGAGCGAACAGG